rnacentral:rRNA from 1 species
GUGGGGAAUCUUCCGCAAUGGACGAAAGUCUGACGGAGCAACGCCGCGUGAGUGAUGAAGGUCUUCGGAUUGUAAAGCUCUGUUAAUCGGGACGAAAGAGCCUAGUGUGAAUAAUGCUAGGAAGUGACGGUACCGGAAUAGAAAGCCACGGCUAACUACGUGCCAGCAGCCGCGGUAAUACGUAGGUGGCAAGCGUUGUCCGGAAUUAUUGGGCGUAAAGCGCGCGCAGGCGGAUCUGCCAGUCUGUCUUAAAAGUUCGGGGCUUAACCCCGUGAGGGGAUGGAAACUACAGAUCUAGAGUAUCGGAGAGGAAAGUGGAAUUCCUAGUGUAGCGGUGAAAUGCGUAGAUAUUAGGAAGAACACCAGUGGCGAAGGCGACUUUCUGGACGAAAACUGACGCUGGGGCGCGAAAGCCAGGGGAGCGAACGGGAUUAGAAACCCGGGUAGUCC